CCCGUUCAUUAUCCAUGCAGUCGACGAUGAAGCCCAGCUUGCUGGGUGGAUUAGUGGCGAACGGGUGAGUAACACGUGAGUAACCUGCCCCUGACUCUGGGAUAAGCGUUGGAAACGACGUCUAAUACUGGAUAUGACCGCCGAUCGCAUGGUCUGGUGGUGGAAAGAUUUUUUGGUUGGGGAUGGACUCGCGGCCUAUCAGCUUGUUGGUGAGGUAAUGGCUCACCAAGGCGACGACGGGUAGCCGGCCUGAGAGGGUGACCGGCCACACUGGGACUGAGACACGGCCCAGACUCCUACGGGAGGCAGCAGUGGGGAAUAUUGCACAAUGGGCCGAAAGGCUGAUGCAGCAAACGCCGCGUGAGGGAUGACGGCGUUCGGGUUGUAAACCUCUUUUAGUAGGGAAAGAAAGCGUAAAGUGACGGUACCUGCAGAAAAAGCACCCGGCUAACUACGUGCCAGCAGCCGCGGUAAUACGUAGGGUGCAAGCGUUGUCCGGAAUUAUUGGGCGUAAAGAGCUCGUAGGCGGUUUGUCGCGUCUGCUGUGAAAUCCCGAGGCUCAACCUCGGGCUUGCAGUGGGUACGGGCAGACUAGAGUGCGGUAGGGGAGAUUGGAAUUCCUGGUGUAGCGGUGGAAUGCGCAGAUAUCAGGAGGAACACCGAUGGCGAAGGCAGAUCUCUGGGCCGUAACUGACGCUGAGGAGCGAAAGCGUGGGGAGCGAACAGGAUUAGAUACCCUGGUAGUCCACGCCGUAAACGUUGGGCGCUAGAUGUAGGGACCUUUCCACGGUUUCUGUGUCGUAGCUAACGCAUUAAGCGCCCCGCCUGGGGAGUACGGCCGCAAGGCUAAAACUCAAAGGAAUUGACGGGGGGCCCGCACAAGCGGCGGAGCAUGCGGAUUAAUUCGAUGCAACGCGAAGAACCUUACCAAGGCUUGACAUACACCGGAAACGGCCAGAGAUGGUUGCCCCCCUUGUGGUCGGUGUACAGGUGGUGCAUGGUUGUCGUCAGCUCGUGUCGUGAGAUGUUGGGGUUAAAGUCCCGCAACGAGCGCAACCAUCGUUCUAUGGUUGCUAGCGCGAUAUGGCGGGGACUUCAUAGCAGACUGGCCGGGUCAACUCGGAGGAAGGUGGGGAUGACGUCAAAUCAUCAUGCCCCUUAUGUCUUGGGCUUCACGCAUGCUACAAUGGCCGGUACAAAGGGCUGCGAUACCGUAAGGUGGAGCGAAUCCCAAAAAGCCGGUCUCAGUUCGGAUUGAGGUCUGCAACUCGACCUCAUGAAGUCGGAGUCGCUAGUAAUCGCAGAUCAGCAACGCUGCGGUGAAUACGUUCCCGGGCCUUGUACACACCGCCCGUCAAGUCAUGAAAGUCGGUAACACCCGAAGCCGGUGGCCUAACCCUUGUGGAAGGAGCCGUCGCAGAGAGAUACUAGGG
rnacentral:rRNA from 1 species